rnacentral:lncRNA from 1 species
UUACUCUUUAAUAAUGAUAUUUAAGAAGAAAAGCCUACUUCACGUUAAUCCAGAGCAUGUGAUGCUUCAAUUUGUACUAACCUCAGAGAUGAUAACUUGCAGCUGUACUUUAAGGUACGCAGUAGUAUGAAAAGUAGAGGUCUAUAAAAUGAGAAGAAGUUGAAUGUUUCUUGAUUUUUUUAAGCUGGAGUGAGUUGAUGCAAGAUGGAGAGAGGAGAAGGAAAAGGGGCCUACCAAAAAAUAGCAGCACAAAGGACAGUGAACAAGAUCAUGUUGUCCAGAUGCCAACUUCAGGAAAAACAACUGUCCGGUUUUCCUCAAGGCACCUGGAGUGAGCAGAAGUCCAGCCACCAGUUUUUCGUUAUUGCAAAAAUCCUCAACCCUCUGAAGACGGUUAUUUUGCUUCAUUCUCUGUUCAUGACUAUGACCUUUUAUAACACUUUGUCAUUUAUUUCAUGCCCGUACCACAGAUAUGAAUGAAAAUCUAGUCUGUUUCUAUUAGCAGGAUGAAUGGAAUUGUUCUUCAGUUGUACCCAAGCACCUUUAUAUUAAAUCAAAUUGCUUCAUGGUCAGACAGAGUCUUUCUAUUUUUUCCCCUCCUCUAUCAUAACAGUUGCUGGUAGUUGGAAUACUGACAGAAUUUCUACUGAAGCUCCUUUUUUUUUCUUUUUGAAAGUCAUUGCUUGUUGUUUCGUAGGUUAAUGAAUAAAGCAUUAUUUUUUUAAGGCA